rnacentral:rRNA from 1 species
CCUACGGGGGGCAGCAGUGGGGGAUAUUGCACAAUGGGGGGAACCCUGAUGCAGCGACGCCGCGUGGGUGAAGGAGCGUUUCGGCGCGUAAAGCCCUAUCGGCAGGGAAGAAGAUGACGGUACCUGACCAAGAAGCCCCGGCUAACUACGUGCCAGCAGCCGAGGUAAUACGUAGGGGGCAAGCGUUAUCCGGAUUUACUGGGUGGAAAGGGGGCGCAGACGGCAAUGCAAGCCAGGAGUGAAAGCCCGGGGCCCAACCCCGGGACUGCGUUUGGAACUGCAUGGCUGGAGUACAGGAGGGGCAGGCGGAAGUACUAGUGUAGCGGUGAAAUGCGUAGAUAUGAGGAGGAACACCGGUGGAGAAGGCGGCCGGCUGGACUGUGACUGACGUUGAGGCCCGAAGGCGUGGGGAGCAAACAGGAUUAGAUACCCUAGUAGUC